rnacentral:rRNA from 1 species
AUUGAACGCUGGCGGCAUGCCUUACACAUGCAAGUCGAACGGUAGCGGGCCUUCGGGUGCCGACGAGUGGCGAACGGGUGAGUAAUGUAUCGGAACGUACCUUUCAGUGGGGGAUAACGUAGCGAAAGUUACGCUAAUACCGCAUAUUCUGUGCGCAGGAAAGCAGGGGACCUUCGGGCCUUGCGCUGAUUGAGCGGCCGAUAUCAGAUUAGCUAGUUGGGGAGGUAAAGGCGCACCAAGGCAACGAUCUGUAGCGGGUCUGAGACGAAGAUCCGCCAUCAUUGAACUGAGACACUGUCCAGACUCCUACGGGAGGAAGCAGUGGGGAAUUUUGGACAAGAGGGGCAACCCUGAUCCAGCCAUGCCGCGUGAGUGAAGAAGGCCUUCGGGUUGCAAAGCUCUUUCGGCCGGGAAGAAAUCGUAUCAGCUAAUACCUGGUGCGGAUGACGGUACCGGCAUAAGAAGCACCGGCUAACUACGUGCCAGCCGCCGCGGUAAUAC